GGCUGUCUCCAGAUGACCCCAGUGAGCCCAGUGAUGAGCACCAGGAGCAGCACAACCACUGAAAUCCACACUGGGUCUCCAGAAAGCAGAACUGGCCACUGGUAGGGGCGCCUGGGUGGCGCAGUCGGUUAAGC